AUUGUACGCUGGCGGCGUGCUUAACACAUGCAAGUCGAUCGGUAACGCGGGGGCAACCCUGGCGACGAGAGGCGGACGGGUGAGGAACGCUUGGGAAUCUGCCUAUCAGCGGGGGACAACACGGGGAAACUCGUGCUAAUACCGCAUACGCUCUACGGAGGAAAGCCGGGGACCGCAAGGCCUGGCACUGAUAGAUGAGCUCAAGCCGGAUUAGCUAGUUGGCGGGGUAACGGCCCACCAAGGCGACGAUCCGUAGCUGGUCUGAGAGGACGAUCAGCCACAAUGGAACUGAGACACGGUCCAGACUCCUACGGGAGGCAGCAGUGGGGAAUAUUGGACAAUGGGGGAAACCCUGAUCCAGCGACGCCGCGUGGGUGAAGAAGGCCUGCGGGUUGUAAAGCCCUUUCGGUAGGGACGAAAGCUCUCGACCUAACACGUCGGGAGGUUGACUUAACCUACAUAAGAAGCACCGGCUAACUCUGUGCCAGCCGCCGCCGUAAAAC
rnacentral:rRNA from 1 species